CCUAGGGAGGCUGCAGUCGGGAAUUUUGCGCAAUGGGCGAAAGCCUGACAGAGCAACGCCGCGUGCAGGAGGACGCUUUUCGGAGUGUAAACUGCUUUUCUGUGGGAAGAGAGAGGACGGUACCACAGGAAGAAGCCCCGGCUAACUACGUGCCAGCAGCCGCGGUAAUACGUAGGGGGCGAGCGUUGUCCGGAGUUACUGGGCGUAAAGGGCAUGCAGGCGGUCGUACGCGUUUUGUGUGACAGCGGGUGGCUUAACUAUCCGAGUAUGCGAAAGACGGUAUGACUUGAGGGCUCGAGAGGGACACGGAAUUCCGGGUGGAGUGGUGAAAUGCGUAGAGAUCCGGAGGAACACCGAAGGCGAAGGCAGUGUCCUGGCGAGUGACUGACGCUGAGGUGCGAAAGCUAGGGGAGCGAACGGGAUUAGAUACCCGUGUAGUC
rnacentral:rRNA from 1 species